rnacentral:rRNA from 1 species
UGAGGAAUAUUGGUCAAUGGGCGGAAGCCUGAACCAGCCAAGUCGCGUGAGGGAAGACGGCCCUACGGGUUGUAAACCUCUUUUGCCGGGGAGCAAUGCCCAGCUCGCGAGCUGGGAAGGAGAGUACCCGGAGAAAAAUGCAUCGGCUAACUCCGUGCCAGCAGCCGCGGUAAUACGGAGGAUGCGAGUGUUAUCCGGAUUUAUUGGGUUUAAAGGGUGCGUAGGCGGUCUGUUAAGUCAGCGGUCAAAUGUCGGCGCUCAACGCCGGCCUGCCGUUGAAACUGGCGGACUUGAGUGGGCGAGAAGUAUGCGGAAUGCGUGGUGUAGCGGUGAAAUGCAUAGAUAUCACGCAGAACCCCAGAUUGCGAAGGCAGCAUACCGGCGCCCAACUGACGCUGAGGCACGAAUGCGUGGGUAUCGAACAGGAUUAGAUACC